GCGGCUACUGCUAUCAGGUUUCGACUAAGCCAUGCGAGUCAAGGGGUCGUAAGACACCGGCGUACUGCUCAGUAACACGCGGACAAUCUACCCCCAGGUGGAGGAUAACCUCGGGAAACUGAGGCUAAUACCCCAUAGUUGUCAUGUGCUGGAAUGCUUUGACGAUGAAAGAAUUUCGCCUGAGGAUGAGUCUGCGGCCUAUCAGGUAGUAUGUGGUGUAAAGGACCACAUAGCCUAAGACGGGUACGGGCCUUGAAAGAGGGAGCCCGGAGAUGGACUCUGAGACACUAGUCCAGGCCCUACGGGGCGCAGCAGGCGCGAAAACUGUGCAAUGCGCGCAAGCGCGACACGGGAAGCCUGAGUGCCUUAACUAUGUUAAGGCUUUUCUUGAUCCUAAAAAGCUCAAGGAAUAAGAGCUGGGUAAGACGGGUGCCAGCCGCCGCGGUAACACCCGCGGCUCGAGUGGUAGUCACUUUUAUUGAGCCUAAAGCGUUUGUAGCCGGAUUUGUAAAUCUCUAGGAAAAUACUUCUGCUUAACUGAAGAAAUUUUGGAGAGACUGCAAAUCUAGGGACCGGGUGAGGUUGAAUGUACUUCUGGGGUAGGGGUAAAAUCCUGUAAUCCUGGAAGGACGACCGGUGGCGAAGGCGUUCAACUAGAACGGAUCCGACGGUGAGGAACGAAGGCUAGGGGAGCAAACCGGAUUAGGUACCCGGGUAGUCCUAGCUGUAAACACUGCCCACUUGGUGUUGCAUCUCCGGUAAGGGGGUGCAGUGCCGUAGCGAAGGUGUUAAGUGGGCCGCUUGGGGAGUAUGGUCGCAAGGCUGAAACUUAA
rnacentral:rRNA from 1 species